AGAUUGAACGCUGGCGGCAGGCCUAACACAUGCAAGUCGAGCGGCAGCACGGGUACUUGUACCUGGUGGCGAGCGGCGGACGGGUGAGUAAUGCCUAGGAAUCUGCCUAGUGGUGGGGGAUAACGUUCGGAAACGGACGCUAAUACCGCAUACGUCCUACGGGAGAAAGCGGGGGACCUUCGGGCCUCGCGCCAUUAGAUGAGCCUAGGUCGGAUUAGCUAGUUGGUGAGGUAAUGGCUCACCAAGGCGACGAUCCGUAACUGGUCUGAGAGGAUGAUCAGUCACACUGGAACUGAGACACGGUCCAGACUCCUACGGGAGGCAGCAGUGGGGAAUAUUGGACAAUGGG
rnacentral:rRNA from 1 species